ACACAGCGGUCACGUGACAUGGCCCCGGGGAGCCGAGGUGAGCGUUCCAGCUUCCGGAGCCGGAGGGGGCCCGGCGUACCCAGCCCCCAGCCCGACGUGACCAUGCUGUCCCGCCUCCUAAAAGAACACCAGGCCAAGCAGAAUGAACGCAAGGAGCUGCAGGAAAAGAGGAGGCGAGAGGCUAUCACUGCAGCGACCUGCCUGACAGAAGCUUUGGUGGAUCACCUCAAUGUGGGUGUGGCCCAGGCCUACAUGAACCAGAGAAAGCUGGACCAUGAGGUGAAGACCCUACAGGUCCAGGCUGCCCAAUUUGCCAAGCAGACAGGCCAGUGGAUCGGAAUGGUGGAGAACUUCAACCAGGCACUCAAGGGCUUUUUGGUCUGGUGAAUAAUGCUGGUGUGGCUGGUAUCAUCGGACCCACACCAUGGCUGACCCGGGACGAUUUCCAGCGGGUGCUGAAUGUGAACACAAUGGGUCCCAUCGGGGUCACCCUUGCCCUGCUGCCUCUGCUGCAGCAAGCCCGGGGCCGGGUGAUCAACAUCACCAGCGUCCUGGGUCGCCUGGCAGCCAAUGGUGGGGGCUACUGUGUCUCCAAAUUUGGCCUGGAGGCCUUCUCUGACAGCCUGAGGCGGGAUGUAGCUCAUUUUGGGAUACGAGUCUCCAUCGUGGAGCCUGGCUUCUUCCGAACCCCUGUGACCAACCUGGAGAGUCUGGAGAAAACCCUGCAGGCCUGCUGGGCACGGCUGCCUCCUGCCACACAGGCCCACUAUGGGGGGGCCUUCCUCACCAAGUACCUGAAAAUGCAACAGCGCAUCAUGAACCUGAUCUGUGACCCGGACCUAACCAAGGUGAGCCGAUGCCUGGAGCAUGCCCUGACUGCUCGACACCCCCGAACCCGCUACAGCCCAGGUUGGGAUGCCAAGCUGCUCUGGCUGCCUGCCUCCUACCUGCCAGCCAGCCUGGUGGAUGCUGUGCUCACCUGGGUCCUUCCCAAGCCUGCCCAAGCAGUCUACUGAAUCCAGCCUUCCAGCAAGAGAUUGUUUUUCAAGGACAAGGACUUUGAUUUAUUUCUGCCCCCACCCUGGUACUGCCUGGUGCCUGCCACAAAAUAAGCACUAACAAAAGUGUAUUGUUUAAAAAAUAAAAAGAAGGUGGGCAGAAAUGUGCCCAGUGGAAGGCUGACCCCAUUUAAGUGCCAACUACUCCAAACCGA